rnacentral:rRNA from 1 species
CCAGACUCCUACGGGAGGCAGCAGUGGGGGAUAUUGCACAAUGGGGGGAACCCUGAUGCAGCGACGCCGCGUGGGUGAAGGAGUGCUUCGGCAUGUAAAGCCCUAUCGGCAGGGAAGAAGCAAGACGGUACCUGACUAAGAAGCCCCGGCUAACUACGUGCCAGCAGCCGCGGUAAUACGUAGGGGGCAAGCGUUAUCCGGAUUUACUGGGGGUAAAGGGGGCGUAGACGGCGAUGCAAGCAAGAUGUGAAAGCCCGGGGCUCAACCCCGGGACUGCAUUUGGAACUGUGUGGCUGGAGUGUCGGAGAGGCAGGCGGAAUUCCUAGUGUAGCGGUGAAAUGCGUAGAUAUUAGGAGGAACACCAGUGGCGAAGGCGGCUUACUGGACUGUAACUGACGUUGAGGCUCGAAAGCGUGGGGAGCAAACAGGAUUAGAUACCCUGGUAGAC